rnacentral:tRNA from 1 species
AAAUAAGAAACAAAUAUAUUGUAUUCAGUUUCGGCCUGAAAAAAAGGUAAAUUAACCCUUAUUUUAUAUUUAUAUAAAUAAUUAAUUAA